ACAGCCGUGGCCUACUGGUUAGGGCUUUGGACUGGUAUCCGGAGGGUUUUUGGUUCGAUCCCCAAACAGUAGGA
rnacentral:tRNA from 1 species